CGUGCUUUACGGAGCUAAGCCUUGCCCAGAAGAGGAAAGAAGACAGCAGAGACAGCUCAGGGAGUGUGGCAGGAUGCUGUCAUGACCCUGUGUAAGACUCCAGCUGAGUGCUGUGUGUAUUUAUAGACACACACACACACAGACACGCAGGCAUGGGAAACGUGCCCUGGAACAAACGUACUGUUUGUUUCCUGGAAACAUGCCCUUCCUUGCCAACUUGCCAGAUUUCCCAGAUCACAUCAUCCUGAAGCAGGGAAAAUUAUGUCUUCUUAUUCCUGGCAUCCACCUGCCACAUGAAGAGAGAUCUUUGGAAAACGGAUCUGACCACUUCUCUGCCCUUUGGAAGACUGGAGCAAUUUCACCUUGUCCUCAGGGAACGAGCUUAAAUUCUCGUGAUGCUGAGAAGAGGGCAGGAGCGGAUAAGUCAAGCACACAAACCAUGGAGAAAAACUUAAGGAUACUUUCCACACCCCAAGCAACAGGCACAUCCCUCUGGGGUGCAACCUAGGUAAGUAAGCCCUGACCACACAGGGGUAUGGAUGCCCUCGGCUGCCUAAGGAGAAGCUUGAUUUGAGGUCUAAGGAAGGCAUCUCCCUUGUGGAAAUGGUACCUGACAGUGACCUGGGCUCUGUGGGGGUGGUAGGCAGAUGUAACAACGUGUGUGGUCGCACCGUUUACAAUACCACACCUUCAUAACCAACCACAUCUCAUUUGAUCCUUUUUUUUUUUUUUUUUGGUCUUUUUUUUAGGGCCACACCUGCAGCAUAUGGAAGUUCUGGGACUCAGGGUGGAAUCAGAGCUGCUGCGCAGCUGAGGGGCAACAUGGGAUCCGAGCCACAUCUGCAACCUACACCGCAGCUUGUGGCAACGCCAGAUCCUUUAACUCACUGAGCGUAGCCAGGAUCAAACCCAAAUCCUCACAGAUACUAACUGGGUUCUUCGCACACUGAGCCACAGCAGAAACUCCACACAUUUCAUGUGACCCCAGUGCCUACUCUCUAGGUAGCUUCCUCACCCUCAUUUCUCAGAUGAGGGAAACUGAGGCUCACAGAAUUUUCUGAGUGGCCAGAAACCCAGGGUUUCUGACACACGGUCUUUCCCUUACACGGCAGUUUGGCCUGGGGAAGUCAUGCAAAAUCUCACAGAGCAGGAAACCAUGACUUCUACAGAGACGGCUUCCUCCCAACCCUGGGCAAGGCCCACGGCUGAUGCAAAGUCAUGGUGGUAAAAAGGGAGUGUGCAGGGGGCCACGCUGAUGAGGGCUGGUGGCUGGAUAGCGGCAGGAGCAGCCAAGGGUACUAGGGGGCUGAGCUGGACUAGGCUACUCACCCAGGGUGUGGCUCAGUGCCCAAGGAGAACAGUGAGGCUAUGACUGGCCUAGGGGCUGCCCUGUGCCCAGGAGCAGGGGGCCUAGCCUGAGGGAGGCCUGACUGUAUCCAGGUCUUUGAUGACCACGGGUAAAGAUAAGAUAAAGCCAGUCUCUUAUUUUUAAGCCAGUCAAAGAGAGG
rnacentral:lncRNA from 1 species